rnacentral:rRNA from 1 species
GAUGAACGCUGGCGGCGUGCCUAAUACAUGCAAGUCGAGCGAACAGACGAGGAGCUUGCUCCUCUGACGUUAGCGGCGGACGGGUGAGUAACACGUGGAUAACCUACCUAUAAGACUGGGAUAACUUUGGGAAACCGGAGCUAAUACCGGAUAAUAUAUUGAACCGCAUGGUUCAAUAGUGAAAGACGGUUUUGCUGUCACUUAUAGAUGGAUCCGCGCCGCAUUAGCUAGUUGGUAAGGUAACGGCUUACCAAGGCGACGAUGCGUAGCCGACCUGAGAGGGUGAUCGGCCACACUGGAACUGAGACACGGUCCAGACUCCUACGGGAGGCAGCAGAAGGGAAUCUUCCGCAAUGGGCGAAAGCCUGACGGAGCAACGCCGCGUGAGUGAUGAAGGUCUUCGGAUCGUAAAACUCUGUUAUUAGGGAAGAACAAAUGUGUAAGUAACUAUGCACGUCUUGACGGUACCUAAUCAGAAAGCCACGGCUAACUACGUG